CCAUAAAAAACAAUCUCAAAAUUAUUGUUUUUUAUUCAUAUGGCAUUUUCAAGCAGUUUCCUGUUGUGUUAAAUACUAAAUUUAAAUAAAGGUCAUUAAAAAAAACAUUGCAUGUUCAAUAUAAACUAAACUUUAUCUGCCUGAUUCUUCAUAAUUUAUCUCUAAACCACCAUCAGUCUCUUUCACGCUUUCAAAGACAGCGACUAACAGACGCAUCACCUGAGGAUCCUCCCACCCUGGAGUUUUUAGGACCAGCAACAGUUUGAAAGCUUUCAGAUGUGACUGAACCGAGUUCAGUUCACGACACGGAUCAUUUGGAAACUUUUGCUCCUCUUAAGAAAGAAGACCACAGCCUGCAGAGACACUCCUCCCUGCAUGUCUUCAUCUCUAACUGCUUCCAGACAUAACGGACACGUUCAGUUUCCAACAUGUCUUCUAGCAGACGUGGUCUCCUCAGCUUGUUGCUGUUUGUUCUCUGGAUCAAAGGUGGAACUGAUGGUAGUGAUGUCAGCCAGACCUCCAUGCUGUGGACCAAGAAGGGUCAAAAUGCAACCAUGAACUGCAGCCACACAAAGGGUGCUACAUAUUAUCAGAUGUACUGGUACAGACAGCUGCCUGGAGAAACCAUGGAGCUGGUCGUCUUCACGUCUACAGCUCAAAGAGGAGGAGAGCACGACUUUGGAGCUUUCAGCAAAGAGAAGUUCUCAGCCACCAAGACAGAAGCUGAGAGAGGAACGUUCACAGUGAAGAAGGUGCAGCCUGAAGAUAAAGGCUUGUAUUUCUGUGCUGUGAGUCAACACAGCGAUACAAACCCAUGAGAGAGCUGAACAAAAACCUCUCAGCUGAUCCCAUCAAUGCUGUCCUCUAGAGGGCGCUACAGAGUAAGAUCAGCAGGUGAUGCAGAAGCGUUUCCAGCUGGUGUCUCCUCCCCUCUGAGUUGAUCUCCUGUCACGUUCAUGCCGUCAGUCCACACUGAGACACAG